AGGUUCAUAUAUGCUCCCAAGCAAAAUUUGUUCAUAAAAUUAGUUUGGUAUCACAUGCUUACAUUUGGGUGAUGUAAUGGCUUUAAGAACAGAACUUGGACUAUAGACGUGGCAGUCUUAGAAAUAUUGGGACGUUCUUAUUUAUUUCCAGACUACAAGUUCAUGUCUAUUGUGCACUUUCUUGGUGAAAUAGUGAACUUGUGAUUAUGGUGACACCAGUUGUAUGGUGCAAAAGCUAGCACAAUUUUAAUCGGUGAGCUUUUUUUGUGGAUUUGUGAACUUAUAAGCCAUAGCAUGUUAGUUUUUAUACUUCCGUUUUCUACCUUUUGUAGUUGAACAUUCUCUAUGAAUUGAGGAGAUGUUGCUUUUCAACUCAAACUUCGAUGGAACCCAAAGCAACCAUGUAUAUUGUGAUUUUGAGAGUUGGGUUUUGUUCUUCCAUGGGCAGUUGCCACUUGCUAGAGUUCAUGGUAUGUAACAGAUACAUAUGGAUGUGCUAAUUUGUUUGUGGGUACAUCACUUCAUAUUUAAACUCCCCCUACUCUUCUUCUCUUAAUGCAUGUAUGUGGGCUGCCAGGCAAAGCCUAGCUCAAAGUUGAAUACGCCCGAAUAGCACCUGCCCAACAAGGACAUAGCAAUCGAACCAUUGCGAAUGAAGAAAAAUGGCAUCAUUAGGUGUUUGUGAGUAUUUGUUGCAGAUAUGUGGGUUUUGAGUAGGUCGAGAGCCCCAAGUUUGAAUUUAAUGUCAUAUGGCUAAACCUUCAUCAUUCUUUCUUCACCUCAUAGAGAGAGAUCUGGAGACAAAGCUUUCAAAAGGACCAUGGAUAGCUACAACAGCCAUUGCGGACCCUGAAAAUCUCCCUUGAGUUCAUCACAUCUGUUUCUCUGUAUCCAAUUUUGAAUCAUUUGUUCAGACUCUUGAGACAACUUAGGCGUGCAUUCAACUUCUGUUGCAUUCACUUUCGUUUACGAUUUUGAAAACCGCUCUCCACAACGGGCAUGACGGAUGUGCCUUGCACAUCGCGAUUCAUCUAGUUUCAUCUAACAA